rnacentral:rRNA from 1 species
GAUGAACGCUAGCGGCAGGCUUAACACAUGCAAGUCGAGGGGUAUUGGUUUUCGGACCAAGAGACCGGCGCACGGGUGCGUAACGCGUAUGCAAUCUACCUUUGCAGAGGGAUAGCCCCAGAGAAAUUUGGAUUAAUACCUCAUAGUAUAGUACUUUGGCAUCAAGGAACUAUUAAAGUCACAACGGCAAAAGAUGAGCAUGCGUCCCAUUAGCUAGUUGGUAAGGUAACGGCUUACCAAGGCUACGAUGGGUAGGGGUCCUGAGAGGGAGAUCCCCCCACACUGGUACUGAGACACGGACCAGACUCCUACGGGAGGCAGCAGUGAGGAAUAUUGGACAAUGGGCGCAAGCCUGAUCCAGCCAUGCCGCGUGCAGGAUGACGGUCCAUGGAUUGUAAACUGCUUUUAUACAGGAAGAAACACUCCGACGUGUCGGAGCUUGACGGUACUGUAAGAAUAAGGACUCGGCUAAACUCCGUGCCAGCA